AUUGAACGCUGGCGGAAUGCUUUACACAUGCAAGUCGAACGGCAGCACGGGGGCAACCCUGGUGGCGAGUGGCGAACGGGUGAGUAAUACAUCGGAACGUGCCCAGUCGUGGGGGAUAACGUAGCGAAAGUUACGCUAAUACCGCAUACGAUCUACGGAUGAAAGCGGGGGACCGUAAGGCCUCGCGCGAUUGGAGCGGCCGAUGUCAGAUUAGGUAGUUGGUGAGGUAAAGGCUCACCAAGCCGACGAUCUGUAGCUGGUCUGAGAGGACGACCAGCCACAAUGGGACUGAGACACGGCCCAGACUCCUACGGGAGUCAGCAGUGGGGAAUUUUUGACAAUGGGCGCAAGCCUGAUCCAGCCAUUCCGCGUGCAGGACGAAGGCCUUCGGGUUGUAAACUGCUUUUGUACGGAACGAAAAGGCUCUGGUUAAUACCUGGGGCUCAUGACGGUACCGUAAGAAUAAGCACCGGCUAACUACGUGCCAGCCGCCGCCGUAA
rnacentral:rRNA from 1 species